rnacentral:rRNA from 1 species
AUGUUCCCCAUGUUCCAGGAGCUUUCACCACAUGACCCACACGACAAGUGUGGUCACCACUACGUGAUCUGUCUUGACCUAAAGAACCAACGUGUUGAGGUGCUUGAUUCAAUCCGUUCGGAAGAUGAUGCAGACCUCACCACGCAUGAUGAAUUCUUCAUUAAAAACCUCAAAGAGACAUGGCACCGUCACUAUGAACACUCAAAGGUCUAG